AUUGAACGCUGGCGGAAUGCUUUACACAUGCAAGUCGAACGGCAGCACGGGGCAACCUGGUGGCGAGUGGCGAACGGGUGAGUAAUACAUCGGAACGUGCCCAAUCGUGGGGGAUAACGUAGCGAAAGUUACGCUAAUACCGCAUACGAUCUACGGAUGAAAGCGGGGGAUCGCAAGACCUCGCGCGAGUGGAGCGGCCGAUGUCAGAUUAGGUAGUUGGUGGGGUAAAGGCUCACCAAGCCAACGAUCUGUAGCUGGUCUGAGAGGACGACCAGCCACACUGGAACUGAGACACGGUCCAGACUCCUACGGGAGGCAGCAGUGGGGAAUUUUGGACAAUGGGCGCAAGCCUGAUCCAGCCAUUCCGCGUGCAGGAUGAAGGCCUUCGGGUUGUAAACUGCUUUUGUACGGAACGAAACGGCGAGCUCUAAUACAGUUUGCUAAUGACGGUACCGUAAGAAUAAGCACCGGCUAACUACGUGCCAGCAGCCGCGGUAAU
rnacentral:rRNA from 1 species